GAUGAAGAACGCAGCGAAAUGCGAUAAGUAAUGUGAAUUGCAGAAUUCAGUGAAUCAUCGAAUCUUUGAACGCACAUUGCGCCCCUUGGUAUUCCGAGGGGCAUGCCUGUUCGAGCGUCAUUAUAACCCCUCAAGCUCAGCUUGGUGUUUGGGCCUGCUGCACUGGCAGCCCUUAAAAUCAGUGGCGGCGCCAUCUGGCUCUAAGCGUAGUAAUUCUUCUCGCUAUGGAGUCCUGGUGGAUGCUUGCCAUCAACCCCCAAUUUUUCUAUGGUUGACCUCGGAUCAGGUAGGGAUACCCGCUGAACUUAAGCAUAUCAAUAAGCGGAGGA
rnacentral:misc_RNA from 1 species